rnacentral:sRNA from 1 species
GGGACAGGAAGUGGGUCGCAUGACCGCAUUGAGCUCCCUGUCUCUUCGGCAGGUGUAGUCAGGGCUCAAGCUAUGAUUUUCGGAGUCUUGGGAGAAGAGAGCGGGAAGUAAACAUUUACUAAUCUCUGUUAAUAGACGACGACACGGGGAAUCUGUUUAUCUUGAUCACGACCAUCUCAGAGCCAGAGGACCAGGACGGAGGGAAGCAUGGCGCCCAGGUGCGAGCACUCAGACCAACAUGUCCUGCGCAAUAGUAGCCGAGGCAGAAAUGAAAGGAACGGACACGCCCCUCUCUGGUCAUCUGCUAUUGAAGGAAGCAGGGCUUGACAUCUUGCAGGGAUCACGGAUUAACUUCUCUUUGGCCUCUACUGCCUUCUGCAUACAUAUACAAGAGAAGUUACCCUUGCUUCACUGCUCACCUUGGGGGCUAUCAGUCUUUCACGCUAAGCUGUUGUUCAUUCCCAAGAGGAAGAAGACACCAUUGUCAUGCUGAGUCCCAGGAACAUGCCCGCUUAAACAAUCAUGCUGCUUCUCUAAGAAACGAGUGAAAUUUUAAUCAGCUGGAGGAAGCAGGUGCCCAGAAGGGAACAGAUCGGUCGCACUGUCAGAAAACCCGACUGCACGCACACACACAAAGAAAACAUGCACGGCUGAAGGAAUCAAAAGAAUCAGCCAACUAAGGAGAAUCAUACAGAUUGUGUUUGCACCUGACAAAACUGUGAGUGGGCAAAGCACUAAGUGCUCUUCUGUAUCCAUGGGCUGUACCGUUUGAAUUCUUCACUAUGCAUCACUCAGCUUGCUGUGUUUCUUACCGGAGCUUUUCAAUAAAUCAUCAAGAGCCACACAGUCAGAUGACGCUUUGUGGACUGUAAUCUCUCCUUCAUUCCUUCAUUUACCAAAUAGGGAUGCCUACCGCAUGCUCAGCGUAUCGCAGUGAAUAUGGACGACACUGUGCAUUGUUGGGAAAUGGACAGAAAAUUUGGGCUGGUGGUGAAGAAUGCCUACUGUCAUCGCUGUGGAAAUUAGAGACUCUCCACGGGCCCUGUAGUCAUAGGGUAGUUCUGGGCUUCCAGGUGUCCUGCCAAGCACGUGUUAUGCUUUACUUGUGAGGAGGCUGACGGUCUCCCGAGAGAGUUCAGAGACAGAGGAGUUUUCUCCAGUGUGUUAGCUGACUGUCUCUGCUAUAACAACUCCCUCCAAAGUUGGUUUUGAACCACACUGACUAGGGCUAGAGAGACCACUCAGCCUGUAAAGUACUCACCACAGAAGCAGGAAGAAUCCGAUCCCAGUGCCCACAUAAAAAUCCCAGUGCUUGGAGGGCAGAGACAAGAGGAUCUGGGUGCUUGUUGGCCAGCUGGUCUCGCUAAUGAGCGAGUUCAGUGAGAGGCCUUGUAUCAAAACAUAAGGUGGCAAGUUGCUGAGGAAGACACCUGAUGUCAACCUCUGGCUUCCACGUGUACUUACAAAUACACAUGAGCUGUGCAGUCAUCACGACCUCCCAAAAUCCUUUACUUUGUCACAUCUCUUGCCAUUCUCUCAGAUACUGGGCAUUAGGAUACUGACAUCCUCAAGAGACUACCAUUCUGCCUACCACAUCUUGGGCUCCCAAGGUUUGUCAUUGGCCUUGGCUGCUGCUCAAGGCUUGAGUGCACCAUGAGGUAGUUAAGACCUUACAAGUCUGGUGCAUUGUCCUGGGUAUCUGGCAGGAGCCCGGAUAUGCCAGUGAAGUAGACAGUUGCUGGGAAGACACAAGAUCAACAGGAGCUUACAUCAGACCCUGGACAUUCAGAAAGGAUGUACAGUCUCAAGGGCACCAUAAAAGUCACCUUUGUCUGAUUUAGUAUGUGAGUCAGGACAAACAUCACAGUUUGUGACAAUUGAGGCUUAUUUGGUUACAGGGUUUACCCAGUAGGGGUCUGCUCUGUAGUCCUCAUGAAGGUUCCUAAAACUGAUGGAGAAGCCACCAUUUCAGACUUAACCAGAUGCUAUGGCAGAGGGACAAAGAGAAAUCAUUAUGGAUGGAGAAGUAUCUUGCCCAGCAAUGAAACCUUUAACCUUAGACAUGGCAUAUAUCACUUCUGCCCACAAUUCAUGGAUCAGAUUUUGCAAAGUGGCUAUGUGUGAGGGUGUGCGACACACACACACA